rnacentral:rRNA from 1 species
CGGAGGGGCUAGCGUUGUUCGGAAUUACUGGGGCGUAAAGCGCACGUAGGCGGAUGCUUAAGUCAGGGGUGAAAUCCCGGGGCUCAACCCCGGAACUGCCUUUGAUACUGGGUGUCUGGAGGUCGAGAGAGGCGAGUGGAAUUCCGAGUGUAGAGGUGAAAUUCGUAGAUAUUCGGAGGAACACCAGUGGCGAAGGCGGCUCGCUGGCUCGAUACUGACGCUGAGGUGCGAAAGCGUGGGGAGCAAACAGGAUU